rnacentral:rRNA from 1 species
GACGAACGCUGGCGGCGUGCUUAACACAUGCAAGUCGAACGGAAAGGCCCUGCUUUUGUGGGGUGCUCGAGUGGCGAACGGGUGAGUAACACGUGAGUAACCUGCCCUUGACUUUGGGAUAACUUCAGGAAACUGGGGCUAAUACCGGAUAGGAGCUCCUGCUGCAUGGUGGGGGUUGGAAAGUUUCGGCGGUUGGGGAUGGACUCGCGGCUUAUCAGCUUGUUGGCGGGGUAGUGGCUUACCAAGGCUUUGACGGGUAGCCGGCCGGAGAGGGUGACCGGCCACAUUGGGACUGAGAUACGGCCCAGACUCCUACGGGAGGCAGCAGUGGGGAAUAUUGCCCAAUGGGCGGAAGCCUGAUGCAGCAACGCCGCGUGCGGGAUGACGGCCUUCGGGUUGUAAACCGCUUUCGCCUGUGACGAAGCGUGAGUGACGGUAAUGGGUAAAGAAGCACCGGCUAACUGCGUG